rnacentral:rRNA from 1 species
UACGUAGGGCGCGAGCGUUGUCCGGAUUUAUUGGGCGUAAAGAGCUCGUAGGCGGUCUGUUGCGUCCGCUGUGAAAACUCGGGGCUUAACCCCGAGCCUGCAGUGGAUACGGGCAGACUAGAGGUAGGUAGGGGAGAAUGGAAUUCCCGGUGUAGCGGUGAAAUGCGCAGAUAUCGGGAGGAACACAGGUGGCGAAGGCGGUUCUCUGGGCCUUACCUGACGCUGAGGAGCGAAAGCGUGGGGAGCGAACAGG